rnacentral:rRNA from 1 species
GUGGCGAACGGGUGAGUAAUACAUCGGAACGUGCCUAGUAGUGGGGGAUAACUACUCGAAAGAGUGGCUAAUACCGCAUGAGAUCUAUGGAUGAAAGCAGGGGACCUUCGGGCCUUGUGCUACUAGAGCGGCCGAUGGCAGAUUAGGUAGUUGGUGGGAUAAAAGCUUACCAAGCCUGCGAUCUGUAGCUGGUCUGAGAGGACGAUCAGCCACACUGGGACUGAGACACGGCCCAGACUCCUACGGGAGGCAGCAGUGGGGAAUUUUGGACAAUGGGCGCAAGCCUGAUCCAGCAAUGCCGCGUGCAGGAUGAAGGCCUUCGGGUUGUAAACUGCUUUUGUACGGAACGAAAAGCUCCUCUCUAAUACAGGGGAGUGAUGACGGUACCGUAAGAAUAAGCACCGGCUAACUACGUGCCAGCAGCCGCGGUAAUACGUAGGGUGCGAGCGUUAAUCGGAAUUACUGGGCGUAAAGCGUGCGCAGGCGGUUUUGUAAGACAGUGGUGAAAUCCCCGG